rnacentral:rRNA from 1 species
GAUGAACGCUGGCGGCGUGCUUAACACAUGCAAGUCGAACGAUGAAGCCCAGCUUGCUGGGUGGAUUAGUGGCGAACGGGUGAGUAACACGUGAGUAACCUGCCCUUAACUCUGGGAUAAGCCUGGGAAACUGGGUCUAAUACCGGAUAGGAGCGUCCACCGCAUGGUGGGUGUUGGAAAGAUUUAUCGGUUUUGGAUGGACUCGCGGCCUAUCAGCUUGUUGGUGAGGUAAUGGCUCGCCAAGGCGACGACGGGUAGCCGGCCUGAGAGGGUGACCGGCCACACUGGGACUGAGACACGGCCCAGACUCCUACGGGAGGCAGCAGUGGGGAAUAUUGCACAAUGGGCGAAAGCCUGAUGCAGCGACGCCGCGUGAGGGAUGACGGCCUUCGGGUUGUAAACCUCUUUCAGUCGGGAAGAAGCGAAAGUGACGGUACCUGCAGAAGAAGCACCGGCUAACUACGUG